rnacentral:rRNA from 1 species
CUAUACAUGACUCUGUGCAUAUCAAUAAGCGGAGGAAAAGAAACUAACAAGGAUUCCCUUAGUAACGGCGAGUGAAGCGGGAAGAGCUCAAAUUUGAAAUCUUCAAGGGUUCUACCUUGACGAAUUGUAGUUUAUAGAAGUGUUUUCUGUUAGUAGAGGUGGCUAAAAGUUCUUUGGAAUAGGACAUCAUAGAGGGUGAGAAUCCCGUAUUUGAUCAUUCUUUCUAACGUUGUGAUACACUUUCAACGAGUCGGAUUGUUUGGGAAUGCAGUCCAAAAUGGGUGGUAAAUUUCAUCUAAAGCUAAAUAUUGGCGAGAGACCGAUAGCGAACAAGUACCGUGAGGGAAAGAUGAAAAGAACUUUGAAAAGAGAGUUAAACAGUACGUGAAAUUGUCAAAAGGGAGGCGUUUGACACCAGUGUUGUUUUUCCGAAAAUCAAUUACGAAUGUUUUAUUUUUGAGGAGUUAUGACUUCAUCGGCUUGCUUCCUUUCUUUACGGAACUUUCUUAAUGCACUUUUCGGUUAACAAGUCAACAUCAAUUUCUUUUGUUGUAAAAGAGUAUGAGGAAGGUGGCUUUCUUUUCGGAGAAAGUGUUUAUAGCCUUGUACCUCUGCAAUCGGAGAGAUUGAGGUCUGCAGCGUAGAUCCUUCGGGGUUAGAUACAUUUGUGCUAAGUUAUAGCAAGUUCAUAGACAACUUGUUGACUAUGCUUAGUCUUGUAGCUUACUCGCAGUAUGCUAUUUUACCUACGCUUAGGAUGUUGAUAUGCAUGACUGAUAU